AUUAGCUUGGUCGGUAGAGCAUCAAACUUUUAAUUUGAGGAUCGAGAGUUCGUGCCCCCCAU
rnacentral:tRNA from 1 species